rnacentral:misc_RNA from 1 species
AAAAAAAAUUCAUUUUAAAAGAAACAGUAAUCAACCCAUUAUGUGAGAAUUCAAUUGAAUUAUUUUUCUUGCUAAUGAUUUAUUUCAAAUGAAGCCAAUGGUAUAAUUUCAUAACUGAAAUUCAUAUGCUCAUUUCUUAAAUUUCCCUCAAGAGUAAAAUUGAAGUGAAUUUUAUAUUCUGGUUAUAAUACUUGUGUUUAACAAAAGAAAAUGGCUGCCAUUAAUUGAAAGUUGACAGGUAGCUGAGGAAAAUAUUUAAGUGAGCAUUUAUUUUUGUUUACAGAGCAAAUGGUUGCUUUAAGGAAG